UACGUAGGGCGCAAGCGUUGUCCGGAAUUAUUGGGCGUAAAGAGCUCGUAGGCGGUCUGUUACGUCUGCUGUGAAAACCCAGGGCUUAACCCUGGGCUUGCAGUGGAUACGGGCAGACUAGAGGCAGGUAGGGGAGAAUGGAAUUCCCGGUGUAGCGGUGAAAUGCGCAGAUAUCGGGAGGAACACCGGUGGCGAAGGCGGUUCUCUGGGCCUGACCUGACGCUGAGGAGGCGAAAGCGUGGGGAGCGAACAGG
rnacentral:rRNA from 1 species